AACAAUUCAAUCAAUUGUCAAAAUAAAUCCAUAAAAUUUUAACAAUAACAACAUUGUUUUUAAAAUGACUAUUCUACCAUGGUCUUUUUACCGUGCACAUGGUACAAAUAACAAUAGCUUCAUAUUUUCAUUCGGUUUGUUCAAUUUUCAUCGAAACACGUCACUUGUCCGCUUGUCCGUUUUGCUAAUCAAACUUCUGUUUUUAUUUGUGGAAAUUACUGUCGGCGGAUUACUUCUGGAUGCAGUGAUAGUUGAUGCACGUUGAUGCCCGUGAUGAAAUCCCGGAGAUCCGAGACACUGGAUUUAUUAGAUCGACAAUUCGUGUUUGUUCCGUGAUUAAACGAGAUCCUGCGAUUUGCAAUUCGUUCAUUUGCGCCUCUAAUCCGUCAGUACAAGUUUCUUCACGAGCACCCCAAUAUCCUCUUCUUUCUACAUCAGCUGCUCUGAGCGUUCCUGAGGAAAUUUUCAAACGGAAGGAAAAUGGAAAGAUUCUCAGAGAAAUUUCCACCAGAGCAACCAGAAGUGUACUUCAAUUCACGCAACGCAGCGAUAAACAAAAAUCAUCUAACCGGAAUGCUCUAUAAUCGUUCCCUCAACCGGUACAAAAAGCAUCAGCUGCUUACCAAACAGGAUCAUAAAGAUACCGCUGAUUACUGGAAAAUAUUUGAGUUUUGACCCUGACAAGGAAAGGUUAUAAUUCAAGACAAAAUUUUCAAAACGACUUAUCUGCUUUUGUAAACAAAGAUUCAA